GGGGGUGUAGCUUACUGGUAGUGUGAGCUUGGACUGUUCAAGGCCCUGGGUUCAGUCCCCAGCACCAACA
rnacentral:tRNA from 1 species